rnacentral:rRNA from 1 species
CACCGGCGCCCCGAGUGGCAAUCGCGAUUAUUGGGCCUAAAGCGUCCGUAGCCGGACGGGUAAAUCCUCUGUGAAAUCGUCGCGCUUAACGUGACGGCGUGCAGAGGCGACUGCCUGUCUCGAGACCGGGAGGGGUCAGAGGUAUGCCGUGGGGACUGGUAAAAUGGUAUAAUCCACGGUCGACCACCAAUGGCGAAGGCAUCUGACCAGAACGGAUCUGACGGUGAGGGACGAAAGCCAGGGGAGCGAACCGGAUUAGAUACCCGAGUAGUCCUGGCCGUAAACGCUGUGAGCUAGGUGUAGCCCAUCCCACGAGGAUGGGCUGUGUCGAAACGAAGGUGCUAAGCUCACCGCCUGGGAAGUACGGUCGCAAGACUGAAACUUUAAGGAAUUGGCGGGGGAGCACUACAAGGGGUGCGGCGUGCGGUUUAAUCCAACUCAACGCGGAAAACCUCACUAGAAGCGACGGCAGGAUGAAGGACAGGCUGAAGACCUUUCCCGACGAGCCGAGAGGUAGUGCAUGGCCGCCGUCAGCUCGUGCCGUAAGGUGUCCAGCUAAGUCUGGUAACGAGCGAGACCUGCGCCCGCAGUUGCUAACGACACAUGUGGAUCGUGCACACUGCGGGGACUGCCUCCGUAAGGAGGAGGAAGGUGCAGGCAACGGUAGGUCUGUAUGCUCCGAAUCUUCUAGGCUACACGCGCGCAACAAUGGUGGAGACAAUGGGCUGCGACACCGAAAGGUGAAGCUAAACCUCUAAACUCCAUCCUGGUCCAGAUCGAGGCUUGCAACCCAGCCUCGUGACGCCGGAAUCCCUAGUAAUCAGCCGUCAUCAUCUGCUGGUGAAUAUGUCCCUGCUCCU